UACAGAGGUGGCAAGCGUUGUUCGGAAUUACUGGGCGUAAAGGGCGCGUAGGGCGCCUUCUAAGUCAGACGUGAAAUCCCCCGGCUUAACCUGGGAACUGCGUCUGAUACUGGAAGGCUUGAGUGCGGGAGAGGGAUGUGGAAUUCCAGGUGUAGCGGUGAAAUGCGUAGAUAUCUGGAGGAACACCGGUGCGAAGGCGGCAUCCUGGACCGACACUGACGCUGAGGCGCGAAAGCUAGGGUAGCAAACAGG
rnacentral:rRNA from 1 species